rnacentral:rRNA from 1 species
UAGGGAAUCUUCGGCAAUGGGGGGAACCCUGACCGAGCAACGCCGCGUGAGUGAAGAAGGUUUUCGGAUCGUAAAGCUCUGUUGUUAAGGAAGAACGAGUGUGAGAAUGGAAAGUUCAUACUGUGACGGUACUUAACCAGAAAGGGACGGCUAACUACGUGCCAGCAGCCGCGGUAAUACGUAGGUCCCGAGCGUUGUCCGGAUUUAUUGGGCGUAAAGCGAGCGCAGGCGGUCAAUUAAGUCUGAUGUGAAAGCCCCCGGCUCAACCGGGGAGGGUCAUUGGAAACUGGUUGACUUGAGUGCAGAAGAGGGGAGUGGAAUUCCAUGUGUAGCGGUGAAAUGCGUAGAUAUAUGGAGGAACACCAGUGGCGAAGGCGACUCUCUGGUCUGUAACUGACGCUGAGGCUCGAAAGCGUGGGUAGCAAACAGG